UCCCUCCUAGCUCAGUUGGUAAAGAACCUGCCAACAAUGCAGGAGACCUGGGUUCAAUUCCUAGGUUGGGAA
rnacentral:tRNA from 1 species